GAUGAAGAACGUAGCGAAAUGCGAUAAGUAAUGUGAAUUGCAGAAUUCAGUGAAUCAUCGAAUCUUUGAACGCACAUUGCGCCCCUUGGUAUUCCGAGGGGCAUGCCUGUUCGAGCGUCAUUUUGACCACUCCCGCUUGCGGGGUCUUGGGCCUUCGCCUCUGGGCGGGCCUUAAAAUCAGUGGCGGUGCCGUCCGGCUCUAAGCGUAGUAAAUCUCCUCGCUAUAGGGUUCCGGAGGGAUGCUGGCCAAUAACCCCCAACUUUUAAGGUUGACCUCGGAUCAGGUAGGGAUACCCGCUGAACUUAAGCAUAUCAAUAAGCGGAGGA
rnacentral:misc_RNA from 1 species